CGGGGGGAGCAAGCGUUGUUCGGAUUUACUGGGCGUAAAGGGCGCGUAGGCGGCGCAACAAGUCACUUGUGAAAUCUCCGGGCUUAACCCGGAGCGGCCAAGUGAUACUGUCGUGCUAGAGUGCGGAAGGGGCUACUGGAAUUCUCGGUGUAGCGGUGAAAUGCGUAGAUAUCGAGAGGAACACCUGCGGCGAAGGCGGGUAGCUGGGCCGACACUGACGCUGAGGCGCGAAAGCCAGGGGAGCGAACGGGAUUAGAUACCCCGGUAGUCCUGGCCUUAAACGAUGGAUACUCGGUGUCCGGGGUUACAUAGUCCCCGGGUGCCGGCGCUAACGCAUUAAGUAUCCCGCCUGGGGAGUACGGUCGCAAGACUG
rnacentral:rRNA from 1 species